rnacentral:rRNA from 1 species
GAUGAACGCUGGCGGCGUGCCUAAUACAUGCAAGUCGAGCGAACGGACGAGAAGCUUGCUUCUCUGAUGUUAGCGGCGGACGGGUGAGUAACACGUGGAUAACCUACCUAUAAGACUGGGAUAACUUCGUGAAACCGUAGCUAAUACCGGAUAAUAUUUUGAACCGCAUGGUUCAAAAGUGAAAGACGGUCUUGCUGUCACUUAUAGAUGGAUCCGCGCUGCAUUAGCUAGUUGGUAAGGUAACGGCUUACCAAGGCAACGAUGCAUAGCCGACCUGAGAGGGUGAUCGGCCACACUGGAACUGAGACAAGGUCCAGAAUCCUAAGGGAGGCAGCAGUAGGGAAUCUUCCGCAAUGGGCGAAAGCCUGAAGGAGCAACGCCGCGUGAGUGAUGAAGGUCUUCGGAUCGUAAAACUCUGUUAUUAGGGAAGAACAUAUGUGUAAGUAACUGUGCACAUCUUGACGGUACCUAAUCAGAAAGCCACGGCUAACUACGUG